UACGUAGGGGGCAAGCGUUGUCCGGAAUGAUUGGGCGUAAAGGGCGCGUAGGCGGCCUGGUAAGUCUGGAGUGAAAGUCCUGCUUUUAAGGUGGGAAUUGCUUUGGAUACUGCUGGGCUUGAGUGCAGGAGAGGUAAGUGGAAUUCCCAGUGUAGCGGUGAAAUGCGUAGAGAUUGGGAGGAACACCAGUGGCGAAGGCGACUUACUGGACUGUAACUGACGCUGAGGCGCGAAAGUGUGGGGAGCAAACAGG
rnacentral:rRNA from 1 species